rnacentral:rRNA from 1 species
CAGAUUGAACGCUGGCGGCAGGCCUAACACAUGCAAGUCGAGCGGUAGCACAGAGAGCUUGCUCUCGGGUGACGAGCGGCGGACGGGUGGGUAAUGUCUGGGAAACUGCCUGAUGGAGGGGGAUAACUACUGGAAACGGUAGCUAAUACCGCAUAAUGUCGCAAGACCAAAGUGGGGGACCUUCGGGCCUCAUGCCAUCAGAUGUGCCCAGAUGGGAUUAGCUAGUAGGUGGGGUAACGGCUCACCUAGGCGACGAUCCCUAGCUGGUCUGAGAGGAUGACCAGCCACACUGGAACUGAGACACGGUCCAGACUCCUACGGGAGGCAGCAGUGGGGAAUAUUGCACAAUGGGCGCAAGCCUGAUGCAGCCAUGCCGCGUGUGUGAAGAAGGCCUUCGGGUUGUAAAGCACUUUCAGCGGGGAGGAAGGCGUUAAGGUUAAUAACCUUGGCGAUUGACGUUACCCGCAGAAGAAGCACCGGCUAACUCCGUGCCAGCAGCCGCGGUAAUACGGAGGGUGCAAGCGUUAAUCGGAAUUACUGGGCGUAAAGCGCACGCAGGCGGUCUGUCAAGUCGGAUGUGAAAUCCCCGGGCUCAACCUGGGAACUGCAUUCGAAACUGGCAGGCUAGAGUCUUGUAGAGGGGGGUAGAAUUCCAGGUGUAGCGGUGAAAUGCGUAGAGAUCUGGAGGAAUACCGGUGGCGAAGGCGGCCCCCUGGACAAAGACUGACGCUCAGGUGCGAAAGCGUGGGGAGCAAACAGGAUUAGAUACCCUGGUAGUCCACGCCGUAAACGAUGUCGAUUUGGAGGUUGUGCCCUUGAGGCGUGGCCUCCGGAGCUAACGCGUUAAAUCGACCGCCUGGGGAGUACGGCCGCAAGGUUAAAACUCAAAUGAAUUGACGGGGGCCCGCACAAGCGGUGGAGCAUGUGGUUUAAUUCGAUGCAACGCGAAGAACCUUACCUGGUCUUGACAUCCACAGAACUUUCCAGAGAUGGAUUGGUGCCUUCGGGAACUGUGAGACAGGUGCUGCAUGGCUGUCGUCAGCUCGUGUUGUGAAAUGUUGGGUUAAGUCCCGCAACGAGCGCAACCCUUAUCCUUUGUUGCCAGCGGUUCGGCCGGGAACUCAAAGGAGACUGCCAGUGAUAAACUGGAGGAAGGUGGGGAUGACGUCAAGUCAUCAUGGCCCUUACGACCAGGGCUACACACGUGCUACAAUGGCAUAUACAAAGAGAAGCGACCUCGCGAGAGCAAGCGGACCUCAUAAAGUAUGUCGUAGUCCGGAUUGGAGUCUGCAACUCGACUCCAUGAAGUCGGAAUGGCUAGUAAUCGUAGAUCAGAAUGCUACGGUGAAUACGUUCCCGGGCCUUGUACACACCGCCCGUCACACCAUGGGAGUGGGUUGCAAAAGAAGUAGGUAGCUUAACCUUCGGGAGGGCGCUUACCACUUUGUGAUUCA